GACGAACGCUGGCGGCGUGCUUAACACAUGCAAGUCGAACGGAAAGGCCCUGCUUUUGUGGGGUGCUCGAGUGGCGAACGGGUGAGUAACACGUGAGUAACCUGCCCUUGACUUUGGGAUAACUUCAGGAAACUGGGGCUAAUACCGGAUAGGAGCUCCUGCUGCAUGGUGGGGGUUGGAAAGUUUCGGCGGUUGGGGAUGGACUCGCGGCUUAUCAGCUUGUUGGUGGGGUAGUGGCUUACCAAGGCUUUGACGGGUAGCCGGCCUGAGAGGGUGACCGGCCACAUGGGGACUGAGGUACGGCCCAGACUCCUACGGGAGGCAGCAGUGGGGAAUAUGGCACAAUGGGCGGAAGCCUGAUGCAGCAACGCCGCGUGCGGGAUGACGGCCUUCGGGUUGUAAACCGCUUUCGCCUGUGACGAAGCGUGAGUGACGGUAAUGGGUAAAGAAGCACCGGCUAACUACGUG
rnacentral:rRNA from 1 species